rnacentral:pre_miRNA from 1 species
ACUGGAUAAUGAUAACAAUGCAUCAUAAAACCUUCAGAGAGAAAGGAGGUUUUGUGGACCAUUUGUCUUUUUGUGUGUGUGUGGCAGUUUUAAGUUAUUAGCUUUAAAAAUCAGU